CCUACGGGAGGCAGCAGUGAGGAAUAUUGGUCAAUGGGCGUAAGCCUGAACCAGCCAAGUCGCGUGAGGGAUGAAGGUUCUAUGGAUCGUAAACCUCUUUUAUAAGGGAAUAAAGUGUGGGACGUGUCCUAUUUUGUAUGUACCUUAUGAAUAAGGAUCGGCUAACUCCGUGCCAGCAGCCGCGGUAAUACGGAGGAUCCGAGCGUUAUCCGGAUUUAUUGGGUUUAAAGGGUGCGUAGGCGGACUUUUAAGUCAGCGGGGAAAGUCUGUGGCUCAACCAUAGAAUUGCCGUUGAAACUGGGGGUGUUGAGUUUGUUAGAGGUAGGCGGAAUGUGUGGUGUAGCGGUGAAAUGCUUAGAUAUCACGCAGAACCCCGAUUGCGAAGGCAGCCUGCCAAGCCAUGACUGACGCUGAUGCACGAAAGCGUGGGGAUCAAACAGGAUUAGAUACCCUUGUAGUC
rnacentral:rRNA from 1 species